AACGAACGCUGGCGGCAGGCCUAACACAUGCAAGUCGAACGCCCCGCAAGGGAGGUGGCAGACGGGUGAGUAACACGUGGGAACAUACCCUUCGGUUCGGAAUAACUCAGGGAAACUUGAGCUAAGACCGGAUACGUCCGCGAGGAGAAAGAUUCAUCGCCGGAGGAUUGGCCCCGCGUCCGAUUAGCUAGUUGGUGAGGUAACGGCUCACCAAGGCGACGAUCGGUAGCUGGUCUGAGAGGAUGAUCAGCCACAUUGGGACUGAGACACCGGCCCAAACUCCUACGGGAGGCAGCAGUGGGGAAUAUUGGACAAUGGGCGAAAGCCUGAUCCAGCCAUGCCGCGUGAGUGAUGAAGGCCCUAGGGUUGUAAAGCUCUUUCGUCAGGACGAUAAUGACGGUACCUGAAGAAGAAGCCCCGGCUAACUUCGUGCCAGCAG
rnacentral:rRNA from 1 species